AUGAUAAUUAAUGUUUAUUCAUUUCUUAAAUGGUCAGAAUGAAGAAUGCUGAAUAUUUUGACACCGUAAUGUUAUGUUGCAGACACCAAGUGACCUGACUGAACCCUCUGGAGACCAUGAAUGGAGUGAGAGAUCCACUUCAUUCUUACAACAGACACCAAGUGACCUGACUGAACCCUCUGGAGACCAUGAAUGGAGUGAGAUAUCCACUUCAUUCUUACAACAGACACCAAGUGACCUGACUGAACCCUCUGGAGACCAUGAAUGGAAUGAUAGAUACACUUCAUCCUUACAACAGACACCAAGUGACCUGACUGAACCCUCUGGAGACCAUGAAUGGAGUGAGAUAUCCACUUCAUUCUUACAACAGACACCAAGUGACCUGACUGAACCCUCUGGAGACCAUGAAUGGAAUGAGAGAUAAAUUCUCAAAAUUCUCAAAUUUUCAAAAUUCUCAUUAUUUCCUGGAAUAUCUUAUUUUGAUUAUUUUAUUUUUCCAUUUUUAAUAAAUAAUGCCUUCUUUUACAGGUGGGAAUAAGAGACGCACGUGGACAGAUUAUGAAGUGAAGGCUGU